UGAGAUGAAGAUAUGGGUGAU
rnacentral:miRNA from 1 species